CUGCAAAAAGUCAACCUUUUUGGACGGAUAAAUGGUAGAAAGACCAGAAGACCCACACACCGGGGCCCAUAUAUUGACAGCGUGGCAUCACAGAAGCCCACCAGCCAAACUAUCUCGUUCUUGUCCGGUCUUUCCUAGUUUCAUCGUCUCUCACCGGUUUGUCUCUCCACGCUUCUCUUACCUGCGUUCGAUUCCGUAAUCUCGACUCCGAAGUCUAACUCUUCGUCUGAGAGACGAAGACCGCUCGUCUCAGAGAAGGCGUUUUCCAGACUCCCUGCGACGACGACGAGAUUACCGCUGCUUGGCUCGCACCUAAAGACGUUCCUCCUCAGAAGAUGUCAUGUGUUGUUGUUCAUAUUGCAGGGACAGGUGAUCAUACAUAUGACAGGAGAUUGCGUCUAGGUUGACCUUUGGUGAAGCAAAACAUUGCAACAAUGGUGCUGGAGAGUGAUCUACUUUUACUAGGGAGGGCAACGAUCGAAGAGUCUCGCAGUCUUCUUAUUCACUGGCUAGACACCGAGGAAGGCUUUGGAAAGAUGGGUGUUUGUGGGCGCGUAGUAUGGAAACUUGAAAAAAUGUUAACGGAGGAGUACAACACUUCCCUACCUAUCUCCACACUCUGCAGUUGUUGCGUUCAUACUAAAGCAUGGAAGCGCUUUGGAGGCACCAAGGGAAGAACUUGAAGCGCAGAAGAUCACAAUGAUUCUUGACCAAGUGAGAGAGAGAGAGAGAGAGGAUGAGAACUAUUCUCUCCCUCACUUCACUGAUGAGAGAAAUCCUGAAGCUGUCAUGUUUGUUGCUGCAACUGAUGAUGGAUACAUAACAAUGACGAGUUUCGCAGGGCGAUAAUGGACGGUCUCGAUAGAGUAGACUGGAAGGAGUCAUGGUGACUGUCGUCAUACCAUUGUAACACAACUCCAUCUGCCUUUUUCUCACAACCUCUGUCUCCUUAUGCCUUGUUACAAUUUGGUUUAAUCGUGAAGAAAAGUGACUCUUUGUGGGUUUUUUUGCUUCAAGCUAGGGUCGGCAUGCGUUGGUGUAUGAUAUAAACGCAAUAAAUGAAACGUGGGAAUGGGUUGAUCUCAAGGAGAUACCACCUGAAGAUAUAAGGUGGGAUGAAAAGAGGAUAGUGGGGGUAGCCUUAAACACUGGACCUGGAAGUGGAUCAAUCCGUGGCAACCGAAGAAACCAAGGCCACAUUGGUAGAGGGAGAGGACCAAGAAUUCAUCAGCCGAGAAGAGAAUUUUUGCCACCACCAACACAACAGAAUGGUGGUGGUGGUGGUGAUGAUAUUGAAUUGUUCAACACAGACUUGCUUGUGAAGGAGGUGGAGAGAGUUUUCGAUGCUACGCAUCCUGAUCCAUUUGAGCUUGAUAAGGCGAAGAAAAUGCUCAAGGAACAUGAACAGGGCGCUUAUGGCUGCCCUUGCAAGGCUUGCUGAUACUUCUGAUGGUGAAAUUGAUGGAGAUCCACCAUAUUCGCAUGACCAUCCAAUGCAUCAGGGAUGAAAGAAAAGCUGUCUUUUAACUGAACCCACCAAGGACACAAGAUGGAAAUGAGCUAAAUGUAUGUUAUGUUAAGUUAGGAUCGGGACGUAGUAAGAUUCUCUGUAAAGCAACAAUAUUUUUUUGGUUUUUAGAGAAUUUAACCUGUGACUAAUGAUUGAGCCAUGUAAAAUGUUUGUUCCGGAGUCCACCUCCAUCAGACCUGCCAUCAAAACGCAUACAGUUUAUGUGUUCUGUUAUAUGGUUCUUCAAACAUCCA